UGGGGAAUAUUGCACAAUGGGCGAAAGCCUGAUGCAGCGACGCCGCGUGAGGGAUGACGGCCUUCGGGUGGUAAACCUCUUUCAGCAGGGACGAAGCGCAAGUGACGGUACCUGCAGAAGAAGCACCGGCUAACUACGUGCCAGCAGCCGCGGUAAUACGUAGGGUGCAAGCGUUGUCCGGAAUUACUGGGCGUAAAGAGUUCGUAGGCGGUUUGUCGCGUCGUUUGUGAAAACCAGCAGCUCAACUGCUGGCUUGCAGGCGAUACGGGCAGACUUGAGUACUGCAGGGGAGACUGGAAUUCCUGGUGUAGCGGUGAAAUGCGCAGAUAUCAGGAGGAACACCGGUGGCGAAGGCGGGUCUCUGGGCAGUAACUGACGCUGAGGAACGAAAGCGUGGGUAGCGAACAGG
rnacentral:rRNA from 1 species